rnacentral:piRNA from 1 species
UAGUAACAGACCUGAGAGAACAGUUGUGA